CUUUGGGGCUGUAACCCGCCCGUUAUUAUUUCUGGGCUCUGUUCUUUUAAUCCUUUGAGAAACCUAGCCCUAAUCUUUUUCUCCUGUUUUCUCUUUAACCUUGCGUCAAUCACAAACUCUGUAAAGAAGUAGUUGUUUCGAAGAGGAUUAAUCUACAGCUGCUGCUAAUGGGAAUUGUCGAAUCCAGAAUCUGAUGUAUCUGAUCGUAAUAGUGUUGAGAAAUCUGUUUACUUCUUCAUCGAAAUUUCAGAUGAAACUGAAGAGGGAAUCAGAGCGGAAAUUGAUAUGGGUUUGUCGAGAUAAGGGUUAUUGAGAGCUGAGAUUGAUGAUUAAGUCAAAAUAAGUGAAAAUUUUUAGAAUCUAGGGUUUGGUUUUGGGAAGAGCAGCUGAGACUGUGUCUGACGGUAAGAAUGGGAAUGGGUUAAUUGAAGAUGGCGGUUUGAGAGUUCUUGGAUGAUGAUAAGAGUUGGGUUGAGCUCGAUCUGCAACCAGAUGAAGAAAUCAAUCGAGAUAAAAUAUUCCAGGUUUGUCGUAGUGAAGAUACCAUUAUUAUUAUGCAUCUUCGAAAGUUUUUGAUGGUUAUUGAUGUCUAAUAGACAAAGGCAGAGUUGGCUAAUUAGCAAGCCUAUGGAGUAAAUUUAACGAGAUGGCGAUGAGGUUAUUGUUUAUGAUAUGUUAAGGGGGUGAUUUAAGAGUCGAAGUCGAAUAAGAAAGGAGAUGAAGAGGAUUACCAGAAAAAGGUUAAACUUCCUCUACCACUCUGGAUUCUCUCCUCUGAACCUCAUACGAAUCUUAAUGAUAAUUCCAAUGGAACUUCUUAAUCGAAACCCUCGAAUUCGAAUUCGAGAGCCUACUAACUGCUUAAAACAUACGGAAGGCGAGGUUACUGUCAUUGAAUUGGCAGCGAGAGAAAGUAAUCUAUAAAAGAGAAAAUAAGUCAAUGAAGAAACCCCUUAACCUUAUUCUCUCUUUGAUUCUAAUCUAGGGUAAAUUCUCAGGGGUAGUAAAGAAAGAAUCAGGUCAUUAGUAGAGGGCAAUACAGAAACCAUUAAUCAAAAAGGGAAAAUAAACUUGCUGCUACAUUAAUGUCUAGAAAGUAGAUUUACAUUGUCUAGAAAGAAACUGUUGAUUGAUUAAUUAUUAGGUGUAAGUUUUGCAAAAGGUACCUCAAGGAGCUUAUCAGGUUACGAGUGAUCCAACAGAAAGAGAAGCUUAUGAUGGGAAUGUGAAGUAUUGUAUGUCUAUGUACCUUAGGAGAAUUUCCAUUUGUAUAUAACUUAAAAUAUGAGUGGAUAUAUCCAUCAUUUAUAAUUUAAAAUGUGAAGUACUGUUGUGCAUAUAUCUACCAUUUAUAAAAAUUAUGCAUGUCCCAGUAUUUGGAUUGCGAUGGAAAAGCGUUGAAACAGGUGCCAUUUUAUUAUACCUGGAUAACAGAGUUUUAUCUCAAUGCUGCUCAUAUUCUUCCCUUUAACAGUAAUCAAUGUUCCAUCAUUUACGCCUCCAAUUUAUCUUGCGUCCAAGCACAAAUUGAUCAUUAGUAUCAAACAGAGGUAAUUUUCACUAAUCUUCCCAUGUUAGAAUUUGCAUUGAAUGUUAAAAAUAUAAUUUUGUUGGUUUUCUUCAUAUCCACUUCCCGUGUUAACUGUGACGUCAUUUCAAAUGGCAGUCAAAGAGAAAUAUUUACCAUCUGCUAUAUAAAUGUUAACCAUAUCUGGGGAGAUAAUAAAGUUUGAUAACCACAUCGGCAUUUAUGCCAGGAACUCCUAGGGUCUGCUCCAUUUGAUGUUUUAAAGGAAAUGCAGGAUAAUUGGUAUGCUAUUGGAUUGUAGUGACAAAAGUUGUCAGCGAAGAUCUUUGUUUCUGUGUUUAUCAAUGUUUAAGUGGAUGAUGCAGAUUUGGUAAAGCAUCUUCGGCAGGCUAACUUUGUUUAGUCCCGGCUUGGGAUAAGAGGACGACCUUCAUUGACGUGUAUUGUUAAUUAAUCUUCUUAUUCAAAAGGGACAGGAAGUGGUAUACCAGCAAGUUACCAUGGUAUGAUGGUCCGGUCAGUUUAACACACAUUCUGCAGUUUGGGUGGAGAAAAUAAUAAUGUCUAGAAGUAGAAGUGUAGAACAUGUCCAUGUUGUGGGCGGUGAUGAUGUUCAGUAGUGGAAACAUAAUUUCUUCAUGGCAAUAGUCUAAUCCAAUUAUUUUGCAAUUUUACCCCGAAAUCUUUGAUUCAGAACCUUUUUGUUUCUUUGCAGGUGUACAAAUUGAAACAUGAAAUGGACAUGUAAGAAUUACUAUAUGGGAAUUUUCUCUUCGUUUUUCCUCUUCUUAUACACUUACUUCCGUUCUCUCAUAUCUUUAUCAUUUCAAAACACCAUGAAGUUUCUAAGCAGAUCUUCAUAGUUGUUAAAGAUUUUAUGGGGGCUAAAGACAAUGGUGAAUAGAAGUGGUGGAGGCGGGUAAAAUUUUCUAUUUAUGUAUCUAAGCUUUUCCCAAUUUUCCUUUUUUAUCAUUGAUCAGAACAGAAGGUAAAUGCGAAUUCAAGGUUCAAAUUUUAACCCGGUGAAUUUGGAAUGAUGGUACAAGUUUUGCAUUUAUUUUUGUAUUAAUUUCUGGGGUAUGAUGUAUUUUUUUUAGGGCAAUUUUUUUGUUAGGGUAUUUUUGUUAAGGCAUUACUUAUCGUGGUCGUGUUUGUUUGAUUCUGGAAGGCAUCCUUUGUUAAUAUCAGUUUAUCUUUUUCUUCCCAGUUUUGUCAAGUUAUUUGGUGAUACUGAAUGGGUGAAAAAUUACAAUUUGAGGAGGCAGAGAAACGCAGGUUUAAUCAUCAACGGAGAAUAAUAAAUCAUCAAUUUGUAUGAUGUUGCUUUACACCUGAAAUAUAAAGUUAGUAUCAUUUGAAUUCAGUCGAGUGCGGCUACUGGAAUCUGCAGUGAACCAUGCAUGCAUAGUCAUUUCAUGUUAAUGCAAAUAAUGAUCGACAUACAUUAUUUAUUUUUUCGCUUCCAUUUUGUAAAUUUCAUUUGAACUUUUUUCUAUUAUCGGGCGAGGUAAUCAAUGCAAUUUUUUGUUAUUCAUUAAGAACUAAGGAGGAUUAUUGGGACGUGGUGUAACUGGAUGUCGAUCUUUUCAUGAAAUGUUUAGGAUGACUCCGCCAC